rnacentral:rRNA from 1 species
GAUGAACGCUAGCGGCAGGCUUAACACAUGCAAGUCGAGGGGUAUUGGUUUUCGGACCAAGAGACCGGCGCACGGGUGCGUAACGCGUAUGCAAUCUACCUUUUACAGGGAAUAGCCCAGAGAAAUUUGGAUUAAUGCCCCAUAGUAUAUAUCAUUCGCAUGUUUGAUAUAUUAAAGUUCCAACGGUAAAAGAUGAGCAUGCGUCCCAUUAGUUAGUUGGUAAGGUAACGGCUUACCAAGACAAUGAUGGGUAGGGGUCCUGAGAGGGAGAUCCCCCACACUGGUACUGAGACACGGACCAGACUCCUACGGGAGGCAGCAGUGAGGAAUAUUGGACAAUGGGCGCAAGCCUGAUCCAGCCAUGCCGCGUGCAGGAAGACGGUCC